rnacentral:lncRNA from 1 species
AUGCUGUGGAUAAUUUUACUAGUUGCAUGGUUUUGUGAAGUGUGGGGAACUCCUGUGGAUACACUGAAUGCCACUGAUAUCCAGGAUGCUGAAGGAUACUCACUGCAGAGUGGACCGCCUCAUCUAGUGAAGACAAGUGAAACACAGCUGGAUUUUGAGGCAGACUAUGCUGUGCAGGAGGGGGAUAUCAUACUACCAGUAAGCCCAAAUUAUGCUUUUAUAUUCACAAUUGAGACUAGAGCUAGUUGCCAUUCAUUUGAUUUCUGCACUGGUCAGUUCUGCUUCCAUAAUAUGUCUGGGGAAAAUGAAGACUGGGGGGAAAAAAACUCUAAAAUAUGGAUUUAAGUGUUUAUUUUAUUACUCACUUUAUCUGUUUGUGCCUGUAGAUUUCGAUUACAUAUGUAUCUUUAACAGUUUCUCAAAAUUUAGUUUUUUUUUUUUUUUUUGUAUGAGUUUUAUUUAUUUUUUUCUUUAACUGUAUGAUAUGUCAGCAAAAAUGGAACCAAGUGCUUAUUUAGUUAUAUAAUACCUCAUUUGCAUAUUUAAACAACAUUUCAGAACACUUGUAAUACAAAAACCGUUGCUUCUGGGUUUUUAUUUAUUUAUUUAUUUAUUUAUCUUUAGACUGACAGGAACGCAGUGAGUGAGCUAUGGCCCGAGUUGAAUGGAAAUUUUUCAGUAGCCUUAUGAAAUUGAUUCUGUUAUUGGUGUAGUUUUUCUACUAUGUUUGGUGGUAUUGUUUUUUUAGUAGAUAUUACCCUAUAGUGUGCUCUUGUAGUAUAGUCAU